rnacentral:rRNA from 1 species
GAUGAACGCUGGCGGCGUGCCUAAUACAUGCAAGUCGAGCGAACGGACGAGAAGCUUGCUUCUCUGAUGUUAGCGGCGGACGGGUGAGUAACACGUGGAUAACCUACCUAUAAGACUGGGAUAACUUCGGGAAACCGGAGCUAAUACCGGAUGAUAUUUUGAACCGCAUGGUUCAAAAGUGAAAGACGGUCUUUCUGUCACUUAUAGCUGGAUCCGCGCUGCAUUAGCUAGUUGGUAAGGUAACGGCCUACCAAGGCAACGAUGCAUAGCCGACCUGAGAGGGUGAUCGGCCACACUGGAACUGAGACACGGUCCAGACUCCUACGGGAGGCAGCAGUAGGGAAUCUUCCGCAAUGGGCGAAAGCCUGACGGAGCAACGCCGCGUGAGUGAUGAAGGUCUUCGGAUCGUAAAACUCUGUUAUUAGGGAAGAACAUAUGUGUAAGUAACUGUGCACAUCUUGACGGUACCUAAUCAGAAAGCCACGGCUAACUACGUG